AUCUGUGGCUAUGCUAACUAGCCUUAGCAUUUGAGAGUUGAGGUGUUUCAUUGAAGACGUAAUUGUGUGGACGAGGCCUGAGGAGAGAGACGAGGACAGAGAAAUGGAGGGACAGGAGCAGGGAGUAAACAUAAAUCCGCUGCCAGGAUUAAGAAGAGUUUCAUAUUUGGGGGACUGUCAACAUCACCGUGAGCAGAUAACACGUCAGCAGCGAAUUGUGCAGCGCUUGAUCUUUAUCUGUUGUAGCAUAUGCCUCAGUGUGUUUCAUCACACUCUCUCCUGCAGGUUCUGCUGCUCAGAUGCACAAACUACAAAUAAAGACAUAUAUUGUGCAUUUGCUGUAAACGAGACAGGUGUAAUUUUUGAGCAACUAAGGCCACAAACCACUGAUUGUAGCUGGAAACGAUAAGCCCAUUAGCUCUCCUUUUAUAGACUCUGGCUUGUCAAAGCAUGUUUGUGGAGGGUGGUUCAGGAAACAUUAGCGAAGAAACACGCACUUUUUUAACGCCUGGACUUGUCGGAGUGGACAGGAAAUAUCUGUCCUGGUACGUCAGGGUCUUCUGCCACGGCUGCCAGUCAAGGCUCUUCGAUUGUUAAAGACCAGUGUUUGCUCUGUCAACAGGACGUGGUAAGCCAAAGUAUAUCGGUUUCCCACAUGAACACUCGGUGCACUGCAAACAAAACUUAUCUGUUUCACUCAAUCUAGCGAGUCUGACCUCCUACUUUCAAACCCCGAAGAAGAAGAAAAAAAAUCCUCAGAGGUCAUGACAUCUUCACUGCUCUGACGAGCAAAGAGGAGAGGAGAUGACUUUAAGGGGUCUUACCCGAUGAUGUAAACCAGGACCCCCAGCUGGAUGAGCCGGCACACCACUCCCACCCUCCUGUUCCUCACCAGCACCUGGCGAGGGGUCUCGUACUCGAAGAAGAAGUCAGACAGGGCGCUGGUGAUUUGGUUCUUCAUCUUUUUUCGCCAGCUGACCUGCAGACAGGAGGGUCUUCUCCUGUCACCUCAAUCGCAUAUAUAUAUACAAGAGAAAGCAGAAGAA